rnacentral:rRNA from 1 species
AGUGAAUAGAUACCCGGGUAGUCCACGCUGUAAACUAUGAAUGCUAGCUGUUAUGAGUAUCGACCCUCGUAGUAGCGAAGCUAACGCGUUAAGCAUUCCGCCUGUGGAGUACGAGCGCAAGCUUAAAACGUAAAGGAAUUGACGGGGACCCGCACAAGCGGUGGAGCGUGUUGUUUAAUUCGAUGCUAAGCGAAGAACCUUACCCAGGUUUGACAUCUUGCUAAUUCUCCGAAAGGAGAGAGUGCCUUCGGGUCCGCAAUGACAGGUGUUGCAUGGCCGUCGUCAGCUCGUGUUGUGAAGCGUUAGGUUAAAGUCCUAUAACGAGCGCAACCCUUUUGUUUAGUUGUA